rnacentral:misc_RNA from 1 species
AAAAGAGGAUUAAAAUUUCUUAUUGUUUCUUAUUUAAAAUAUACAAAUUUUCGUGAAAUUUUUAUGGGAAAAUAAUUUUUUCUUAGGAAAAAACUACAUUUAUUACUAAAAAUAUUUAUGAAAUUUCUGCUUUGACUAAUGAAAAAAAUUCAAAAAGUCAAAAAAGUGAUUAAAGUGUUAACAAAAUAAAAUAAUGACUAAUUAAUUAAAUUGGAAAAAUAUAAAGAUUGAGUCAUUAUUUUUAUUAAAUUUUAAGAAUUAAAUAGCAAUUUAUCCAAAAAAUUAAUGAUGUUUGUUAUAAUAUUUACUACCACCUUUACACUUUAAUCCUUAAUAACAUGAUUAUAAUUUCAUUCAACAAGGAGAAAACUUUUGUAGACAAGCAAAUAAAGUUGCUCAUUCCCUUAUUCCCUGUUU